UACGAAGGGGGGCUAGCGUUGCUCGGAAUCACUGGGGCGUAAAAGCGCACGUAGGCGGAUCUUUAAGUCAGGGGUGAAAUCCCAAAGGCUCAACCUUGGAACUGCCUUUGAUACUGGGGAUCUCGAGUCCGGAAGAGGUUGGUGGAACUGCGAGUGUAGAGGUGAAAUUCGUAGAUAUUCGCAAAGAACACCAGUGGCGAAGGCGGCCAACUGGUCCGGUACUGACGCUGAGGUGCGAAAGCGUGGGGAGCAAACAGGG
rnacentral:rRNA from 1 species